rnacentral:rRNA from 1 species
CCUACGGGGGGCAGCAGUGAGGAAUAUUGGUCAAUGGGCGAGAGUCUGAACCAGCCAAGUAGCGUGAGGGAUGACGGCCCUGUGGGUUGUAAACUUCUUUUAUAAGGGAAUAAAACGAGGCACGGGUGCCUGUUUGCAUGUACUUGAUGAAAAAGGAUCGGCUAACUCCGUGCCAGCAGCCGCGGUAAUACGGAGGAUCCGAGCGUUAUCCGGAUUUAUUGGGUUUAAAGGGAGCGUAGAAGGGCUGUUCAGUCAGUGGUGAAAUUUUGCGGCUCAACCGUCGACUUGCAAUUGAUACUGGCAGUCUCGAGUACAGUAGAGGUAGGCGGAAUUCGUGGUGUAGCGGUGAAAUGCUUAGAUAUCACGAAGAACCCCGAUUGCGAAGGCAGCUUACCAACCUGUGACUGACACUGAUGCUCGAAAGUGUGGGUAUCAAACAGGAUUAGAUACCCUAGUAGUC